GGAUCCAUGGGUUCGAUGGGAUCCAUGGGAUCCAUGCCCGUCGGCCACAUGCCGGGAAUGGACGGUGACGCGCCUGGCGGCCAGCCUUCCUCGUCGCAUUUCUUCGGCUGAAGCAUUUAGUCUGUGGUGCAACGUUUCAACGGGGACACAUCGGGCAGUGGACUGAGAAGAAGCAUCUAUGUUGACGAUGUGCCGGCCAUUUCACCUGUAAUAAAUGUAUGAUGGACUCUCUUACAA
rnacentral:lncRNA from 1 species